rnacentral:antisense_RNA from 1 species
CUUCAGGGAGCCCAGCCACAGCGGCCGGUCCUGCGGCCGGUCCUGCCCGUAGGUCGCGAUCAGCGCCUGCGCCUC